AAUUUCUUACGGAGAGUACCUACUGGUUAUAAAGUAUAAAAACAGGUUGUGUAAGCAAGACAAGAUUGUUGAGAAACGGUGUAAACCCAACACAAAUAAUGGACAUCAAAUGGAUAAGUACAAUAAUCUAUUUACCAGAAGCUGUGUAUAAAAAUCAGAUAUACAACAGAGAGAAAUCAAAGAAUUUUCCAUCUCUAAGUGUUCUUGUUUCAAGUGGUAUAUGUAAGCUUAACAUUGCUGAAAACAUUGCUGGAUCAGGGCUCAAUCUUGAACAUCUUAGGACAAUUUUCAGUCGUGAAGGGGAAGACGGGUUGACUAACAUUUUUAUUUCUAAGAAUAGUGAUGGCCAACCUCGUGUCACAAACACUAAGAGAGUAUUAGAGUCCGUCAUUCCUAAACUGGUAGAAUUGUUUAGCAAAAACAGUUGAGUCAAAAUUAUUUAAUGAUUGUUUUAGAGCAGACUGUCUUGUCGGAAAAAAAGUGAAAUGCGGAGUGUACAUCAGUGACUUCUAUUGCACAUCAGUGACUGUUAUAGUAGUCGCAACUUGACCGCGAUGGUUGACCUUAGGCUGAUUAUUCAUAUCGAUUAUUUCAUUGUAGAAAAAUGGGGUACUUGGAGUAGCCGUCAAUUUUAAAUUUAUGAAUGCAAAGAGCUGAAGCGUUUUACAUGCACUCCUUUUCAAUAAUAGGUUGUAUCUAAUUACGUAUUAUAAUACAAAGGUCAACCAUCGGGGUCAAGUUGCGUCCACUAUAGUAUUAUUAUGAUAAUUGUUUGUAGGUAGCUGUAGAUAACUACCUUACUUUUGAAGUGUAAUACAGAUAAAUUAUUGCUGCGUUCCAUUGACUAGAUCAAAGUAAGCAAGCAAACAAUUUAGUCCAAGUUUUCCACAUGUAAUUAGAUAAUAUGAUAUGUAACUUUUUUUCUUGUAAAGCAAAAUCCAUUACUUAGUUUCAUAUGGAAAAUUGCCUCUGCAACUUUUUGUAAAUCUAAUUGAUAGCUAUGGUGUUUAUCUUAUCAUCCAAGUCUGCAUUGUUAGCUUGUCUGAUAUUUGAAAAACAUCUCUUCAAAGUAUUAUGGUCACUUGUUCGUCUUUGUCGACGUUAAUUAUAUUGUUUGGUUAGCUCUACCUCUCAAAAACUGUAAGAGCUGCAGCUUUGAAACAUUGUACACAUAUUUAUCAUAAUUAGAUGACUGUGUAGGCCAAGAACCAUAACUCUGAUUUGCAAUUUGUCAAAAUUAUGGCCCUUUUUGUACUUAGAAAAUUUGAGUUUCUUCGUCAAUUUUUCUUACUUAGGUCCACCUUUUUUCAAAAACUAUAAGAGCUACAGCUUUGAAACUUUGCACACUUGUUUAUCAUCAUAAGGUUACUAUGUAGGCAAACAACUAUAGCUCUAACCUGCAUUUUUCCAGAACUAUGGCCCUUUUUGUACUUAGAAAUUCUGAACUGUAACUCAUUUCUUACAUAUUGUCCAGCACUUGCAGACGAGCGAUGACAGCCCAGGUGUGCUCUUGCUUUUCAUUUGCAAUGGUCUAAUGUUGUUUUAUAAUUAAAAAAGGAAAGCAUUAUAAAUUUCAAACAAUUUAUUUCUUUAGAACUGUUUCAUGUUAAAACAAUUUUUGGUAGAAAUUACAUUUUUAUCUUCUAUACUGUCAAUUUUGCCCUUCUUUUCACAUGUCACAUGUAUGAAUUAUUUCACUGGUGUCACAAUAUAUGACGGUAAAAGUUACUUGUUUUUUUUAUAUUUAUUUUCUAUAAGAAUGAAGAUAAUUUUGAUGUGCUCACUCCCCAUGUUCAUGACAUUCAAUUAAAAAAAUAUGUCUAAGAAAUGUCUGAUAAAAAGUUUUCUUCUAGGAAAGGCGGCCAUUUUGGAUAGGGGGUAUAGAUAAAUAUGUUAAUAUUUUUCAGUCGGUUUACUUUGAAACUGACCAAAAUCUGGUUUUGAUUACUCAGUAAUAGUCAGAGACUUGAUUAACAAAAAGAAAUAGUGUAAAAAUUAUUUUUAUGAAAUUCUGUAGCUCUUUUUACAAUUAAGGUCCUUGUCGACUGAUGGGUCAAAAUCGGAAGGUUAGCCGAGUUAAUAAAAAUUGUAAUAAUUUUCAAAAUAUACGGUAAAUUUUCUUAAAAUUUUGAAAUCAACUUACCUUUUGGGUACAGAUACUAGAAAUAUAGGGUUUAUGCAGAUUUUCAAUAUUGACUAUUAGUGUGCUAA